CCCCGGUGCGACACUCACAGUGGCGCCGCGGCUGCUCCGGCCAGCUGGGGACAGUCAGUGCUGCCGGUGCCCAGGUCCGCGCUGAGCCCGAGGCUCUGCAGAGCGAGCUCACAGCCCGCAGGUAGCCGGCCAUCCCGAGCACGCGAGGUCCGAGCACGCCGCUGCACCGGGCUGUGCGGUGGGGACUCUAGGCUGGCCCUGGUGGCUGGGACCCAACCGGGGCGGAGCUGCAGAACCUGCCGCCCCAUUGGGUCUCACCCGGGAGAAGGCGGGUCCACGCCAGGGCAGGAGCCUGCUCGACACCCUUGGGCCUGUUCCAGAGCUCAGGCGGCCCCAGUGCUGAGCCCGCGCUUUCUGGGAGCCUCCAUAUAUCCUCAAAGCAUCAGGUACCGGGGAGACCCAUCGGGCCGCGGGGGCUCACGGCUGCAAGACUCCCCGCUUCCGUUAGAAUGUCAGCUGCAGACACGUCGCCUUAGUCCCCUGCGUCCUUUGCGUUUAGCUGACCGACGGACCUGAGGCGCUUUCAUCAAGACAAUGACAAGCUUUGCCGUCUUGAACCUAGACCAUGGCAACUUGGGUCUCCCCCAGGUAGCGUCCAGUUGGGUGGACUAACCAGGAUCGAGAGUUGAAAUGCCAAGUACGGUGGAGGCAAGAGGAUGAGAAGUUAGGCUACAUACCAAGUUCUAGACCAGCCUGGGCUAUAUGAGACGCUGCGGGGCGGGGCGGGGGGGGGGGCGGCUGGAAAUCCUCCUUCUGCUCCUGACUAGGCCAAACUCCUAGCCCCAAAGUCCUUCAUCAUGGCCGACUCUGUCUCUUCUGGACAUAAGAGUGCCUGCCAGGAGACUUCUGUGACAUUUGUGUGUAAAGGUUUGAGGUGAGGCACAGCUUUGGCUGAAAACUUAAGCAACAGAAGCAAACCAACCCCAGUGUGGGGUCAUCACGCUUUUCAUUCAGCGUUGAAGAAUGAAAUUAUGUCAUCUGCAGGGAAACGGAUGGAACUAAAGAUCACUGUUAACAACAAGGAAAACAAGCAAGCAAACAAACAGACUUCCAAGCAGAUAUGGUUCUAGCCUGCAAUCCUAGCACUUGGGAACCAGAAGGAGGCUCAGAAGUUCAAGGUCAGCUUCGCCUUUAAGUUGAGUUUAAGGCCAACUUGAGAUGUGUAAGGAAGCUGACCCUCCCCCGCCCCCAACACACACACAAACACACCUAAACUGACAUCUUGUUUUCUCUCCUGUGCAGAAUACAUAUAUAAUGACAGUAGAAGAGGUGAUAUAUGAGGGGAGGCAGGACCUAAAGCGGGGCGGGGCAAGAGAUAAUAACGAACAUCGAGAAACAAAUAUGGACGUUUUCUCUCACAUGUGAAACCUAGAUUUAAUUCUGUGUGUGCACAGGACACGGAAGCAGAAAGGCAACAGUUCGUGUGGAGGAAGAGGACAAAUUGGAGGAGGGAGAAGAAUGAGAGCAAAGAACCAGAAUGGAUGUGUGUCUGUGUAUGUGUGCAUGCAUGGAUGUGUGUGUAUGUAUGUGUGAAAAUGUCAUAAUUACUUUGUAUGAUAAUUUAAAAAAAUUUAAUGUUUCAAUAGUAAAGUAUAUGUUAUAUGUAUUUUAUUUUAUUUAUUUGGUUGUUCCUUUUUAAAAGAGGUUUUAUUUAUUUUGUGUAUGAGUAUUUCAUCCCCAUGCAUGUGUGUGUACCACAUGAGUGCUUGGUGCCCUGGGACAUCAGAACAGGGCAUCAGAUUUGCUGGAACCAGAGUUACAGGUGGUUGUGAGCCACCAUGUGGGUGCUGGGACUCAAAUUCCCUAUUUAUUUGGUUUUUCGAGACAGUUUCUUUCUCUGUGUAGCCCUAGCUGUCCUGGAGCUCACUCUGUAGACCAGGCUGGGCUUGAACUCAGAUCUACCUGCCUCUGGCUCAGGAGUGCUGAGAUUAAAGGCGUGUGGUAUGUAACAAUGCUCGUUUGCUUGUUUGUUUGUUUGUUGGGUCUGGGUUGUUUGUUUGUUUGUUUGUUUGUUUUUGAGAUAGGGUCUCACUUUGUAGCAGCUCUGGAUGACCUGGUAUCCUGGUAUUCACCAUGUAGUUCAGGCUGGCCUUGAACUUAUAAUAGGCUGUCCACCUGUCUAAUCCACUUGUCUUUUACUCUGGAGUUCAGGAAUUAAAGGUAAUUGCCACGA